AGGAGCAUAGCUCAAUCGGUAGAGCACCGGUCUCCAAAACCGGGGGUUGGGGGUUCGAGUCCCUCUGCUCCUGCCA
rnacentral:tRNA from 1 species